UACGAAGGUGGCAAGCGUUGUUCGGAUUUACUGGGCGUAAAGGGAGCGUAGGUGGUGGGUUAAGCCCCGCGGGAAAGCUCCAGGCUUAACCUGGAAAGGUCGCGGGGGACUGCUCCGCUCGAGGACGGGAGAGGAGCGCGGAAUUCCCGGUGUAGCGGUGAAAUGCGUAGAUAUCGUAAGGAAGACCAGUGGCGAAGGCGGGUCUCUGGACAGUUCCUGACGCUGAGGCACGAAGGCCAGGGGAGCAAACGGG
rnacentral:rRNA from 1 species